GUUGGGCUCUCUUGUUUAAUGACAAUAAAAAUAAAUUAAAACUGAUAAAAAUCAAGAGAGUCGGCUUUCUGGAGAGAGUUUUGAGAAUUUGAGAGAACCGUCGAUGUGGCAACAUGUGAUUGGGUUUUCAAUUUCAACAAAAAAAUAAAUGUGUGCGCGUUCUGUUCUAUCUUCUUUCUCCUCUCUGCCCAAACGAAAUUGACCAAAAGAUGCAAAGCCCAAUCAUCGUUUCUUCUGAAAACUUUUCGCAUUUGAUAUCUUUUCUUUGAAACUGAAAUCAAGAUACACAAACUGAAACCAAUUUGUUCACCAAAAGAAAAUAAAAAUGCGUGGGUUUCGAUUUCAAAGAUAUUCAGGAAAAGAUCUCCGAUAGCUUUCGUCUAUGGCAACACUCUUUUCAAUUCUGGGUUCGAGCUUCGUGG